rnacentral:siRNA from 1 species
UACAAAAUACAAAUUAUGCAUA